rnacentral:lncRNA from 1 species
CAGUGGAAUACUAUGCAGUUUAUAUUAAAAUGGACAGGUCCCUGUGACACAUGAAGUAAAAAAGCAGGUAUUUGGUUUUGUUUAAGCCCUAGAGAAAAAAGUCUCAUAUUCAAAUGUUAACAAUAGUUAUUUGGAGAUUGUGAGAUAAUUUUUACUUUUUGUCUACCUUUUCUGGCAAUUACUAGUUGUCCACAGAAGUGGACGUGUUUUCCUUCCUUGCACAUGUCCAUUCAUUUUUACUAGAUUUCCAAACCUACAGUGAGAAUGGACAUGAAUCUACAUUUUCAGCAGUGGAUUGUGAAAAGAAGUGACAUUAUCCUAGAUUUUAAGG